UAACUAAUGCAUUCAACUGUCC
rnacentral:miRNA from 1 species